rnacentral:rRNA from 1 species
AACGAACGCUGGCGGCAUGCCUAACACAUGCAAGUCGAACGAGACCUUCGGGUCUAGUGGCGCACGGGUGCGUAACGCGUGGGAACCUGCCCUUAGGUUCGGAAUAACUCCCCGAAAGGGGUGCUAAUACCGGAUAAUGUCUUCGGACCAAAGAUUUAUCGCCUUUGGAUGGGCCCGCGUUGGAUUAGCUAGUUGGUAGGGUAAAAGCCUACCAAGGCGACGAUCCAUAGCUGGUCUGAGAGGAUGAUCAGCCACACUGGGACUGAGACACGGCCCAGACUCCUACGGGAGGCAGCAGUGGGGAAUAGUGGACAAUGGGCGAAAGCCUGAUCCAGCAAUGACGCGUGAGUGAUGAAGGCCUUAGGGUUGUAAAGCUCUUUUACCCGGGAUGAUAAUGACAGUACCGGGAGAAUAAGCUCCGGCUAACUCCGUG